CCUACGGGAGGCAGCCGUGAGGAAUAUUGGUCAAUGGGCGGAAGCCUGAACCAGCCAAGUCGCGUGAGGGAUUAAGGCCCUGCGGGUCGUAAACCUCUUUUGCCGGGGAGCAGUGGUCCGGAAGCGUCCGGACCGGGAGAGUACCCGGAGAAAAAGCAUCGGCUAACUCCGUGCCAGCAGCCGCGGUAAUACGGAGGAUGCGAGCGUUAUCCGGAUUUGGUGGGUUUUAAGGGUGCGUAGGCGGGCAUUUAAGCCGGCGGUCAAAUGUCGGGGCGCAAACCCGGCCUGCCGUCGGAAUGGGGGGCCUUGAGUGGGCGAGAAGUAUGCGGAAUGCGUGGUGUAGCGGUGGAAUGCAUAGAUAUCACGAAGAACCCCGAUGGCGAAGGCAGCAUACCGGCGCCCUACUGACGCUGAGGCACGAAAGUGCGGGUAUCGAACAGGAUUAGAUACCCCUGUAGGC
rnacentral:rRNA from 1 species